AGAGUCUAAAACCACAGACAGCUUUUCUAGUUAAACAUUUGGUGUUUCUAAGACGCAUACAGAUUUGUUCCACUGUGAAAAGAACGGGGAGCUUCUUAUCAGUAAGUGUCUUCUUAUAGGAGGGCUCAGCUAAGGACCCCAGCACAUGACCUGACUUCCUUGGCGACAGGUCCAAACAGAACUUGGGGCCCUAUCACCAGGCACCACCGUCUAGUGACAACUGCCCCCCCAGUCAGUUGGCUGAAAACAGUCAGCAGCAAACAUGCUGUGCUGCUUUCCCAGGCCUCCUGGUUGCAGCCUCAGGUCCCCUCGCAGGGAAACCACUUGGCAAUGAGUGAGAGGAUGGUUCACUUGGCCCAGAAGCUUCAGGACCCUCGCCAGGAACCGUCCAACAGUCAUGGGCAGCACAGGGCAGGUCUCACCAGACCCAGCCCCUAGAUGCCCAGAGACAAGAGAGAGCCCAGGACAAGUGUCCCUAGGUUCAGCCACCAGACACUUGGAGCCACUGAUAUCUGGACAGGGCUACAGAACGUUCAUCACAUUCCAGGGCAAUCUCUGAAGAUAAACAUCCAAUUUAGUUUGGAAAUCGGUCAACCAAGAGCUUGGCAGAGGUCUGCACAGUAAGCACGGUGCAGGCAGGGAUUCCUCACACUCCAGUGGAGACCCUGGGGCAGGACUUCCAGGAUAACAAGAGCAGGUGCACCUUUUCUAUCUUUGACUCCUCAAUGGAGCUGAAAUCCCAGGUGCAGCCCCAGGAUGAGCGUCUCCAGGACCACUUGGUGCCUCCUGCGUUCUCUGAUGAAGAGCCCCAGGCUCCAGCCCACGCUGAUGUCCCACCUGCAGAGCUCGUGCCAACUGCAACUGCAGCUCCCUCACCAGUUCUGACCCCACAACAAGAGCCAGGACCUGAAACCCCUUCUCCACCAGCUGCAGAGCUGCAACUCCUGGUGGCUCCACAGCAAGUGCUAUCUCUUGAGCUCUACUUGGGGUCAACCCUUGACCCAUACCUGGAAUUCCUCUCCCUUAUAGAUUUAGUUAUUAUUAUAUUUAUUGUUACUCUUAUUUUCCAGAGACAGGUCAAUGACAGAAUUAUUUAAAAUAAAAUUUAAGCUUUUAGUCUUGUUUAAAAUGAUCAACUUGCUGCAUUUUCAGUGCAUUCUCAUUCAUUUGCAAUGUUGCGCAACCUUCACCACUGUCCAGUUCCAAGACAUUUUCAAUACGCAAAGGUAUUUCCUCCCUUCUCCCCUGCUGCUAGAUCCACUCAUCUUAUGUCCUUGUAAUUAAUCUAUUCUACAUUUUUCACAAAACUGCAAUCAUAUUGGUCUUUGGCUGCAGAAUCUUGGAAGCUACUGUUCAAUCUUGCUUAUUGGAGGACAGGAAAAUCCCAGAUAGAUUCCCAUGAUUUCUCAUCACAAACUAAAUUAUGCAGUGUUUUUUCAGACAAGAGAUAAGUUUUGCAGUAAAAUACAGAAAGCACCAUAAGGAAAAACACAGAGAUAGUCAUCCUACAGAGGAACAGGGAC
rnacentral:lncRNA from 1 species